ACGUACCCAUGGUGCCGGAGCCGUCGGCGCCGCCGUAGAACGUGGCGGUGCCCGGGAGCCAGUCCGACCUCGCCGGUGCAAUGCAGAGUGCAACAACGGCGAGCAGCUG
rnacentral:sRNA from 1 species